UGCCCUGAAAUAAAGCACCACGGAGUGGAUCUGCAAAAAGAAGGUCUUUAUUCAUGGUUAGCAGGAGGGUCAUUGUGAAAGUAAGACUCCCCUGCCUUCUGGCCAUAAGCAAAGGUUUUAUAUGUCUCAGGGAAGCAGGUUGAUCAGGAGUAAAAGGAACAAGGAAACAAGAAUGUGAUGUGCCAGGCAAAGUAGUUUUCUAAAGCAAAUGGCCUCAGGGUGGAAGAUGGAAAGAGAAAACCAUAUGAAAAAAAGACACAAAUUUCUAAAAAAGCAUCCUGUCUUUGAAGAGUGGCAAAUACUAUUCUGUUUUUGAGUACAGAAAUAGAUCCAACUUGGAAUUAUAAAACAGAAUGUGCCUCAUCACUUGGACUUAACCAUAUGACUGGCUUUGACCAAUAAAAUAUAAGUGGAAAUUCUACUAUGCUACCUCCAAGAAAAGUCUUAAAGAAGUCUGGAAAAUUUCCACAUCUCUCUAUACAUGUCCUCUGUCCCCAAUCAGAAGAAAACAUACUAGGAAGUUGUUAAUUCUUUAGCUCAGAUCCUGGAAUGAAGACACCUGGAGUAUACUUGAAAGUCUGAAGUCCAGCUGACCCCCAGCUCAAAUUAGUGAAAGUACAGUCCACCAGCCAACCUGUGAGCAGUAAAUAAAUAUUUGUUUUAAGUUACUAUAUUCAGAAUAAUUGUACCAAAUUUAUCUCAAGUUAUCAGUUCUCCAGGGAUAGUAUGACAGCUACUUGUUGAGACCUUGGACACUUUUAUCUUUUAGGCACAAUAUAUUUAACUGACUUUCAUCUUCAAGCAAAGAGUUGUUCUCCAAAUGGCAAUUGGAAUUUGCAGGUAACAUUUCUAAUAUAUAUUUUGCCAAACUUACCUACAAUAGAGCCAUAAAACUAUAAUCU
ensembl:lincRNA